rnacentral:rRNA from 1 species
GCACAAGCGGUGGAGCAUGUGGUUUAAUUCGACGCAACGCGCAGAACCUUACCAGGGUUUGACAUCCUGUGCUCGACUCCGAAAGGGGUUUUCCCCGCAAGGGGCGCAGAGACAGGUGCUGCAUGGCUGUCGUCAGCUCGUGUCGUGAGAUGUUGGGUUAAGUCCCGCAACGAGCGCAACCCUCGCCUUUAGUUGCCAUCAUUCAGUUGGGCACUCUAGAGGGACCGCCGGCGACAAGCCGGAGGAAGGUGGGGAUGACGUCAAGUCCUCAUGGCCCUUACACCCUGGGCUACACACGUGCUACAAUGGCGGUGACAGUGGGCAGCUACUCAGCGAUGAGCGGCUAAUCCCAAAAAACCGUCCCAGUUCAGAUUGCACUCUGCAACUCGAGUGCAUGAAGGUGGAAUCGCUAGUAAUCGCAGAACAGCAGGCUGCGGUGAAUACGUUCCCGGGC